UAGAGGUGCUAUUUCAAAAUAUUUACACAGCACAAUUGAUUUUUUUUUUUGUCAAAUGGUUCCUAUAAUUGCUUCGAAAUACUGACAAGAAGACAUAAUACUGCUGUUUUAUUUGCAAUCUAUUUACACCACAUGCUCCAUCCUUUAAAGCCACCAGCGUUGUGGCCGGCCACAUACAACCCUCACACACACUCUUGAUCUCCUGCUUUCUGAAAAGCGGUACAGAAGCAAUCAGGCCUCACAUCCAAACUGAGUAAUAGAUUCUUGCCACAAUCCACCAGACUCCUCAGCUGAAACACACACAUACACAUCAACGGCAAAAAAAAAAAACACAACUCUGUUUGCACACUUGUUGAUUCUAAUGUUUACAUCCAACUAAGUGUUUACAUGUACAUGUAUUUAUUUUUGUUUUUUAUAUGGACAAUCCAUGUGCACAAGCUUCUGUACCGUACUGGUGGGUGCUAAAGUGUCACAAUUACUGUGUCUGUCCUUGUCUCAUGUUGGCUUUUGUUUGUUUGUUGCACUGAAUGUUGCACACGUGCACUUUGUGUUGUUAGUUUAGAGUUCUGUGUAGUUCCUUGUUCCUUUUGUUAAUUUAUGUUGUCUGAUGUAGCACCUUGGUCCUGUGGAAACGUUUUGUCUGACAAAAAAGGCUCCUUGACUUGACUGAUUCACUAAUCUAAUGUAUUCAACAGGAUGCUGGAAAUCUAUUAUCGGUCUGUUGUGGCAAUUGUCCUUUAAAGUGCUGUGGUCUGCUGGGGGAGCAGCAUUAGUGCCAGGGAUGCAGGCAAGAUCAAUAAAAUCAUCCGCAAGGCCGAAUACAUAAUUGGACACAAACUGGACAGAAUGGAGACAGUGAGAAACAGCAGGUCACCGAACAAACUCCUGUCAAUCGUGAAAAAUCAAUCCCACUCUCUACAUGAUCCCAGAGGCCGCGGAGUUCAUUCUCCAAAAGGAUGAUUCAGCUUUGCUGUCACAGAGAACUGUUCAGGAAAUCAUUCCUACUGUAUGCCAUCGCACUGUACAAUGAAUCACCUCUAUGUAGCAGAUCAUAAUAGCAACUACUAUACAUAUCCGAUUAUUCAGUGACUUUACACACACAUACACUGACAAUUUGCACAUUUCAUUUCUUCUUCUUUUCUUUCUAUUUGAAUUGCCAGUUUGCACUCUUUAUGUUGCAUCAUCUGCAAUAUUGUGUUUAUGUAUUUAAGUUACAAUUAUUUGGUUACAUUCUGUUUUUCUUCCCUCCCCCACUACUGUCUGUCUGGGGUACAUGCUGCUGCUGUAACGCAGUACUACAGUACUGUAUAUCCAAGUCUAAUCCUUAGCCAGACGCCUGCUCCAGGCCACGUGAGGGCGCUAUAUAGCAUAUUUCACUCCACCAUUGUAGACUGAAAGGACAGGAGAAGAAGGGCGGUAGUAAAUACGGUCUAUUGUUGUUAGUAAGUUUGCUGCUUAUUUCCAGCGUGUUUCUGCGCGUCACUGUGUGAACCUCAGCAUGACGAACCUGCAGUCCCUGAGCAUUUUUCUGACCGAACGCUUAAUGCUGGCAGCGCAGGAGAUUUUCAAGGCUGUGGAAGUGACCGUUACUGAAUACCACGACGAAAUCUCCCGCUCCAGACAAGAAAACGAGCUUCUGAAAAGCAGACUGCUGGAGGCAGGGAUCCAGGUUUAUCCAGAAUUACAGCCCGGCCUGUCUGUCUUCCAUGGAGAACCCUGUGCUGAAUCAGAGCGAGAAGAUCCAGGGGAGAAGGUUCUGGUGAAGCAAGAGCCCAGUGGUUCAAAAGAGGAGCCUCGAGUUCCUGCUCAUCCUCCUUCUCAAACAAGUGUGCCUGAGGAACCCGUUUCCCCACGUGCAUGUCUAGAAGAUGAACAGAGAGUUGAAGAAAUGCUCCAUCCACAGAUGACUGACAACCGUGAGAGUCCUUUACUCCAGGCUCAUCAGUGUAUGCAGAUUAAAGAAGAAACCAAUGAAUCGAAAUCUGGUUUGGGAGCAGAGAUUUUCUGCAUGUCACAGAGCGGCACGUCUGAUGAUCCGAGCAGUGCUAUUGCUUCCAGUCAUGUCAGCGGGCUUGAUACAGGAUUAGAUGAACUUUCAAUGCAUAAUGCCGCUGAGCUUCCAUUAUCAAGCAGAGUGAACACGGGUCAGCCUAAAGGAUGUGUUAAUUAUGAUCCAGCAGCACAGGGUAAAGAACUCCAAAGGAGAGAAAGAAUGUACAACAUUGUAAAAUUCUCAGGAACAGAAACUGCUGUGGUUGUGCCAUCUGAAUGGUGUACUGCUGGAGAGACAGUCUGGCCAAAUUAUAAAACGGACAAAUGUAUGGAAAGGGCAGUUGAACAGCGAGAAACACCUGGGGAAGACUGGGACCGCUAUAACUGCACUCUACUAAAGACCUAUGACAACUAUUCAGAAGCACAUCAGGCUUUGGAAUCCUUACGCUGCAACACGUCUGAUGAGCAGUCGGGUAAAAAGGAGGAGGUGAACGCGAAACCCAAGCCAAUUCUUUAUCUUGGAAAAUCUGAUGGUGAUCAACAGAAAGAGUCAAGGAACCCUCUGUUAGUUAUAUCCUCUCCUGUAAUAAACACUAGCAGUUGGGAGGGUCACCUUCCUCUCCAUCCAACUUACAGAGUAACGACUGGAACUGGACCGAUUCUAGGCACUGGUGAUCAGCUCCAUGUGUUGGCACUCUUGGAGCAGGUUAAGCAUGAACAAACCCAAAUAGUGGGGAUGCUGAAUGGCCUGAGCACUAAAAUGCAUGCAAACACAGAACCCCAGGGCUUUUUUGCCACCCCUGAAGACUUGAAAUUCCCACUAGAUACCACUGAGGAGGUGGAACAUUUUGAAGCUUGGCUUGCUGAAGAGACAAAUGCUGGAUCCAAAAAUAACUUGAUACAAAUUUUAUCAGUGCUGGGAGGGCAAGAUGUCAAGAAGGUGACCUGGAACAUCUUGGCUCACAUUUUCAGCGAAAAUGUUAGCAAACAAAUUAGCUGGAAAGGGGCCAACCAAAAGUUCAAAUUCAGUGGAAUGAACGCAAAGGAGCUUCUUAUCCGAGCUGUGCAAAACUGCAAAGUUUGCAGCAGUGCUACUGAGGACGAGAUCAGCAAGCAUGCCAUUCUGUGGUUCAGCCUUGCUUCAGAUCAUGGAAGUGGAUGCAAAAAGCAAAAGAGAACAAUGUCCGGAUUGCACCAAUUGCUAAAUGAUGCUGUACUGUCAGUGUUGCCAAGCCUCUCUCAAGAUCGAACCAAGCAACUGGUCAAGAAGCUUGUGGACCAAGGAGUUAAAGGCUUGAAUGAUUUGGUUAAUGUGAAGGAAGAUGACAUAGUGGAGUUUAUACGACCUGUCCAACGCAGAAAACUUCUUAGUGCCUGGAAAGAACAAGAAAAUCAAAACAACACUGUGGUUCUGCAGCCUGUUGAUGUUUUCCCCUUGGUUGCCCCUAAAACCAUUUCUACUUAUGGUUCACCUAUAUCAAGCUCCCCAAGCACAUCGGCAUCGGAAUCAACCACUGGGUCAUAUUUAUGGCCUGAACAUUUCCAGGUUCCCUGGAACUUAAUGCCAGUAGGUAUUCAAAAUGCUAUUGCGAACGGCCAGAGACCUUCCCCAGCUGACAGACGACAAAUGAUUCGAAUCCUUGCUGAUGAAAUGAGAAAAUACGAUGCUAACCCCACCAGAUCACAGUGCCUUACUAUUACUCGCCAAAUCGUCAGGCAGUAUCCAAAGACUUUUGCUGAUAUGAUGGGUGGCAAACAGGUUGGUGGUGGAUAUGAAUCUUUACUUUCACAGCUGAAAGUGCGCAUAGAGAACCUGAAUCGAAAAAGUACACUAAGCUAUCAUCGGAUUCGAAGUAACAACACUGGAACUUGUAGAAAACGAAGUUCCAUUGACUCAUAUGGUUGUACAAGAUGGCAGCCUGAUUUUCCUUCUGGUGAAAGCUUUGACAGUCUUGAAGUGAAGCGUCAGAGGAUGGAGGAUAUCUAUAAUCAGGAGGGGAUCUCUGGAGCAGAGAGAGGAGGUGUGCAUGCUCAUGGAGGGGACCUAUUUCCUCCAGCGUCACAUGAUUAACGCAAUGCCAUCCCCUACAAUUGCAGAUUUAAGAACCAAAUGGCCGUAUCUCUUCACGCAGAGGCAUAUAUAUGCUCAUUUUGAGCUGCUGACUGACAAAAACGUGCUCACACUUUUUGAAUCGUCAAUCCAGGAGUGUGGACAAAUCAUUAUUCAGUUUUUUAAAAGCAAGCCAACCAACAACGAUGUUAGGCUCAUACUUUCCAGAGCUGAAGAUGAUGUAGCUGCCAUGGUAAUACUGCUGCUCCUUGCACACUUUAAGGAGACGUUAGAUGGGGUGAUACUUCAAGCAGAUGAAUUUGCAACUCCAUCUGAUGUCGAGGGAUCUCUCAAUCUGCCAGAGAGUCCACGACUCAUAAUUCUUGGUCAAGCUCUAAGCAACCAGCGGUGGAUGCUGAGCAUGGAAGGUCAGGUUGUGUGUGAAGGAGAACAACCCAACUUUGUGUCUGGCCUUGCAGCCUUGUUUGCCUCAUUCUACAAUUUCAACCUGCAGUAUCAGGAAGAGGCAGCCUGCACCCUUGAGUUUGUUCAAAGGCGCUUUAUUGACAUCAACCCUGAACGUGGUUCAAAAACCAAGAAGGGUAAAGUGACUUCCAAGAAGACUGGCAAGGUUGUGCAAAAAAAGAACUGUACUGUGAACCCACAUGUUUCCUCGCUUUUGCGAAACCUAAUGGACUUUGGAUGGGAUUCUUCUUAGAUUUUGCAAAGUUGUUGUUUUUUGUGUUGCACCAUGACUCUGUUGCUAGUUUACCGGUGGACCAUCUUUUGACCAUAUCGGUAGUUAUUAACCACUGUGUACCCAGAACACCCUACAAGACCUGCCAUCUAAAGAGGCUCAGACCCAGUCAUCUAGACAGCUUGGCCCUUGUCAUAAUUGCUUAGAUUUUCAGGAUUGCCCAUAUUUUCUGCUUCUAUCAUUGAGAACUGUUUACUUGUUGCUAAUGAGCUCCUUUAGAGCAGGUCAGAGUCAGCAGAGUCAAGUGCUACUGUACUGUAAUGACAUAAUCAAUGUUAUUUACUUCAACUGUCAGUAAUUUGAACACUAUGCUGAUUGGUGUAAGAUUACUAUUUUGUUGAUUGUUAACUGUUACAUUUUUGAAUUUUGCUUUAAAAAAAACCUAAAUGUUUUAAA